UACGAAGGGGGCUAGCGUUGUCCGGAUUUAUUGGGCGUAAAGAGCGUGUAGGCGGCCAGGUAGGUCCGCUGUGAAAGUCCGAGGCUUAACCUCGAGAUGUCGGCGGAAACCAUCUGGCUAGAGUCCGGAAGAGGAGACUGGAAUUCCUGGUGUAGCGGUGAAAUGCGCAGAUAUCAGGAGGAACACCGGUGGCGAAGGCGGGUCUCUGGGCCGUAACUGACGCUGAGGAGCGAAAGCAUGGGGAGCGAACAGG
rnacentral:rRNA from 1 species